rnacentral:rRNA from 1 species
GAUCAAGUGAAAGAAGGGCAUUUGGUGGAUGCCUUGGCAUGCACAGGCGAUGAAGGACGUGAUACGCUGCGAUAAGCCGUGGGGAGCUGCGAAUGAGCUUUGAU